rnacentral:rRNA from 1 species
CCUACGGGAGGCAGCAGUGAGGAAUAUUGGUCAAUGGGCGAGAGCCUGAACCAGCCAAGUCGCGUGAAGGAUGACGGCCCUACGGGUUGUAAACCUCUUUUGUCAGGGAGCAAUUGGGUCCACGCGUGGGCUUAGCGAGAGUACCUGAAGAAAAAGCAUCGGCUAACUCCGUGCCAGCAGCCGCGGUAAUACGGAGGAUGCGAGCGUUAUCCGGAUUUAUUGGGUUUAAAGGGUGCGUAGGCGGAAUAUCAAGUCAGCGGUAAAAAUUCGGGGCUCAACCUCGUCGUGCCGUUGAAACUGAUGGUCUUGAGUGGGCGAGAAGUAUGCGGAAUGCGUGGUGUAGCGGUGAAAUGCAUAGAUAUCACGCAGAACUCCGAUUGCGAAGGCAGCAUACCGGCGCCCAACUGACGCUGAAGCACGAAAGCGUCGGUAUCGAACAGGAUUAGAUACCCCAGUAGUC